UACGUAGGGGGCAAGCGUUGUCCGGAAUCAUUGGGCGUAAAGAGCGUGUAGGCGGUCCGGUAAGUCGGCUGUGAAAGUCCAGGGCUCAACCCUGGGAUGCCGGUCGAUACUGCCGGACUAGAGUUCGGAAGAGGCGAGUGGAAUUCCCGGUGUAGCGGUGAAAUGCGCAGAUAUCGGGAGGAACACCUAUGGCGAAGGCAGCUCGCUGGGACGUUACUGACGCUCAAACGCGAAAGCUAGGGGAGCGAACGGG
rnacentral:rRNA from 1 species